rnacentral:rRNA from 1 species
CCUACGGGUGGCUGCAGUGGGGAAUAUUGGACAAUGGGCGAAAGCCUGAUCCAGCCAUGCCGCGUGUGUGAAGAAGGCCUUCGGGUUGUAAAGCACUUUCAGUGGGGAAGAAAGCCUUGGGGCUAAUACCCUCGAGGAAGGACAUCACCCACAGAAGAAGCACCGGCUAACUCCGUGCCAGCAGCCGCGGUAAUACGGAGGGUGCGAGCGUUAAUCGGAAUUACUGGGCGUAAAGCGCGCGUAGGCGGUCUGAUAAGCCGGUUGUGAAAGCCCCGGGCUCAACCUGGGAACGGCAUCUGGAACUGUCAGGCUAGAGUGCAGGAGAGGAAGGUAGAAUUCCCGGUGUAGCGGUGAAAUGCGUAGAGAUCGGGAGGAAUACCAGUGGCGAAGGCGGCCUUCUGGACUGACACUGACGCUGAGGUGCGAAAGCGUGGGUAGCAAACAGGAUUAGAUACCCCAGUAGUC